GAUGAACGCUGGCGGCGUGCCUAAUACAUGCAAGUCGAGCGGACGGACGCGACGCUUGCUUCUCUGAUGUUAGCGGCGGACGGGUGAGUCACACGUGGAUAACCUACCUGUAAGUCUGGGAUAACUUCGGGAAACCGGAGCUAAUACCGGAUAAUCUUUUGAACCGCAUGGUUCAAAAGUGAAAGACGGUCUUGCUGUAACGUCUAGCUGGCUCCGCGCUGCAUUAGCUGGUUGGUGAGUUAACGGCUUACCAAGGCAAGGAUGCAUAACCGACCUGAGAGGGUGGUCGGCCACACUGGAAGGGGGACAGGGUCAAGACGCCUACGGGAGGCAGCAGAAGGGAAUCGGCGGCAGUGGGCGAAAGCCUGACGGAGCAACGCGGCGUGAGUGAUGAAGGUCUUGGGAUCGUAAAACUCGGUUAUGAGGGAAGAACAUAUGUGGAAGGAACUGUGCAGAGCGUGACGGUAACUAAUCAGAAAGCCACGGCUAACUACGUG
rnacentral:rRNA from 1 species